rnacentral:rRNA from 1 species
UACGAAGGGUGCAAGCGUUGUUCGGAUUUACUGGGCGUAAAGCGUCCGUAGGUGGUUUGUUAAGUCAGAUGUGAAAUCCUAUGGCUUAACCAUAGAACUGCAUUUGAAACUGUUAUUCUAGAGUAUGGGAGAGGUAGGUGGAAUUCUUGGUGUAGGGGUAAAAUCCGUAGAGAUCAAGAGGAAUACUCAUUGCGAAGGCGACCUGCUAGAACAUAACUGACGCUGAUGCGCGAAAGCGUGGGGAGCAAACAGG